rnacentral:rRNA from 1 species
AACGAACGCUGGCGGCACGUUUUAAGCAUGCAAGUCGAAUGGCAGCAGGGGCAACUCUGUGAGAAUGGCGAACGGGUGAGUAACACGUAGGUGAUCUGCCUUGAGGAUGGGGAUAGCCUGUGGAAACACAGGGUAAUACCGAAUGAGCUGACGAGACUCUGGUUUUGUUAGUAAAGGUGCUACGGCACCGCCUUGAGAGGAGCCUGCAGCUGAUUAGCUAGUUGGUGGGGUAAGAGCUUACCAAGGCGACGAUCAGUAGCCGGCCUGGGAGGGUGUACGGCCACACUGGAACUGAGACACGGUCCAGACUCCUACGGGAGGCAGCAGCUAAGAAUCUUCCGCAAUGGGCGAAAGCCUGACGGAGCGAUGCCGCGUGAUCGAUGAAGGUCGAGAGAUUGUAAAGAUCUUUUCUACAUGAGGAAUAAGUCUGGGAGGGAAUGCCCGGAUGAUGACGUUAGUGUAGGAAUAAGCCCCGGCUAAUUACGUGCCAGCCGCCGCGGUAA